GAUGAACGCUGGCGGCGUGCCUAAUACAUGCAAGUCGAGCGAACGGACGAGAAGUUUUCUCCCCUGAUGUUAGCGCCGGACGGGUGAGUAACUUGUGGAUAACCUAACUAUAAGACUGGGAUAACUAUGGGAAACCGGAUCUAAUACCGGAUAAUAUUUUGCACCGCAUGGUUCCAAAGUGAAAGACGCUCUUGCUGUCACUUAUAGAUGAACCCGCGCUGCAUUCGCUAGUUGGUAAGGUAACUGCUUACCAAGGCAACGAUGCAUAGCCGACCUGAGAGGGUGAACCGCUACACUGGAACUGAGACAGGGCCCAGACACCUAGGGUGGGACGCGGUAGAGAAUCUUCCGCAAUGGAGGAGAGCCUGACGGAGCACCGGCGCGUAAGUGAUGAGCGUGUUCUGAUCGGAGAGCUAUGUUAUUAGGAGGGAACAAAUGUGUAAGUAACUGGGAAGAUCAUGACGGUACCUAGUGAAAAAGCCACGGCUAACUACGUG
rnacentral:rRNA from 1 species